rnacentral:rRNA from 1 species
GACGAACGCUGGCGGCGUGCUUAACACAUGCAAGUCGAGCGGUAAGGCCCUUUCGGGGGUACACGAGCGGCGAACGGGUGAGUAACACGUGGGUGACCUGCCCUCAGCUCUGGGAUAAGCCUGGGAAACCGGGUCUAAUACUGGAUAUGACUCCAUGACGCAUGUUGUGGGGUGGAAAGCCUUGUGCGGCUGAGGAUGGGGCCCGCGGCCUAUCAGCUUGUUGGUGGGGUGAGGCCUACCAAGGCGACGACGGGUAGCCGGCCUGAGAGGGCGACCGGCCACACUGGGACUGAGACACGGCCCAGACUCCUACGGGAGGCAGCAGUGGGGAAUCUUGCGCAA